rnacentral:lncRNA from 1 species
AUGUUUACUGAGCACCCUCCCCGUGCCACCCCCCAGCCUGGGCUCCUUCUCCUUUGCCUUCUCCAUCCCCCCAGCCUGGGCUCCUUCUCCUUUGCCUUCUCCAUCCCCCCAGGCUGGGCUCCUUCUCCUUUGCCUUCUCCAUCCCCCCAGCCUGGGCUCCUUCUCCUUUGCCUUCUCCAUCCCCCCAGCCUGGGCUCCUUCUCCUUUGCCUUCUCCAUCCCCCCAGCCUGGGCUCCUUCUCCUUUGCCUUCCCCACCCUCCCACCCGGUCCCGUUCCUUAGGCUCCUCCUUCCCCGCCCCCAUCCCGAGGUUUGCACAAGGCGAAGUAAUCUCUUCCUCAAGUCCCCUCCCUACCACCGCUGAGAUGAAGCACUGUACAAAGGGCCGGAGUUCAGAACAGAAUUUAUUCACGCAUCUUGCCCUUCACGCUCAGAAGCCCAAAUCCGGAGGGAGCCCCCAGUCUCGUCCCUGAGGCCCCAACUCGCUGUUCGACCUUGUCGGGGUGGACAAGCGCCCCCCACCCCGCCCCCCACCCCGACCCUGAGCCUGGCUCUCCUGCUCAAUACGACGGGCUCUAGAACCGCCGCAGGUUCUUCCCGGGUGCGCGGGGCUCCCUCUCAGGUCAGAACCUCAACACUAGGGGCGUUGGGGAGUGCGGCUUUGGGCUGGGUUUGUUUGGACCUCCCGGCUCCCUUCUGCAAGUCCCCGGGGCACGCCCGCGUCCUCUGCCCACCGGGUCUCUCACCAACUCGUACCCCUUCUUGAGGAGGAACUCCGGUCCUUCCAGCCCGAGGGCGUUGACCCCGCCACCCUGGGAGCGACCCGCCCCCUGGACCCCGGGAACGUCCCGCCCCCCUGGACCCCGGGAGCGACCUACCCCCCUGGACCCCGGGAACGUCCCGCCCCCCUGGACCCCGGGAACGACCCGCCCCCCUGGACCCCGCUAAGCAGACAGCGCCCAGGGCUGCCCCGGGAGCUCGGCUCGCCCCGCUCCGCGCGGCUGGGGCUCCGGGGAGGCUCCGAGAGCAGCGGGGGCGCAGGUAGGGGGAGUAGUGGGAGGCGCAGGGGUGGGGGGCGGGGCCUGCGGGGG